rnacentral:rRNA from 1 species
CAGCCGCCGCGGUAAUACGUAGGGUGCAAGCGUUAAUCGGAAUUACUGGGCGUAAAGCGCACGCAGGCGGUCUGUUAAGUCAGAUGAGAAAUCCCCGGGCUUAACCUGGGAACUGCAUUUGAAACUGGCAGGCUUGAGUCUCGUAGAGGGGGGUAGAAUUCCAGGUGUAGCGGUGAAAUGCGUAGAGAUCUGGAGGAAUACCGGUGGCGAAGGCGGCCCCCUGGACAUUUACUGACGCUGAUGCACGAAGGCUAGGGGAGCAAACAGGAUUAGAUACCCCAGUAGUCCCUGUCUCUUAUAA